UGAUAUUGGGGCUUUGUUACAUUUAUGGCUACUCCAUUUUAUGACCAAGUUUGUGUCCUGUCUAGAACUUGCAUGCAGUUGAUUGUAUUUCUCUUAAUACUAAUUAAUUUUUCAUUAUAAUCCAUUCACUAUGUACGGAUUUUGGGAUUUAGAGCAUGUUUGGCUUAUUACUUGGUUUUGGAUACCGAGAUUUAGAGGAUAAUAUCCAUUAAUAGCUUAAAUUAAUUUUAAGUUAAAUUAUUUUUAGUUCUUGAAGGGAGAUUUAUUCCUUGAUUUUUUU
rnacentral:lncRNA from 1 species